rnacentral:rRNA from 1 species
UACGAAGGGGGCUAGCGUUGCUCGGAAUCACUGGGCGUAAAGCGCACGUAGGCGGCUUUCUAAGUCAGGGGGUGAAAUCCUGGAGCUCAACUCCAGAACUGCCUUUGAUACUGGAGAGCUCGAGUCCGGAAGAGGUGAGUGGAACUGCGAGUGUAGAGGUGAAAUUCGUAGAUAUUCGCAAGAACACCAGUGGCGAAGGCGGCUCACUGGCCCGAUACUGACGCUGAGGCACGAAAAGCGUGGGGAGCAAACAGG